rnacentral:lncRNA from 1 species
UCUUGUGUCACAAGCACAUCUUCAAAGACAGGUGCACUCCCCUAUACACAGACAAAUUCAGCAACUUGGCAUCCUUGUGCUGCCUCUUUAGUUGUUGCAACUUAGCAUUGCUAUCUAUUUUAUCCAAACCAUCAACUCCUAUGCCUUUAUCAAAAUACACUGAGUCAGUGCUUCCAUAGCCUUGUGUCUCCAUCAGUGCUAUCACACUAGGAAGGACAACAUCAUCACUGCACAGUUUCAACUCUAAACUAUCCAGAUCUUGAAAAUGAAUGGCAACAUCCCAAAUUUCUGGAUAUAAACUGCAAUUUCAGAAAAAAUGUCAAUUGUCAGUGAUAAAUUCACAUCACAUGACAAUGUAACACUAAAUUUCACAAACAAGAGAACUGGAACUAAUUAAAUCUAACACCCUAAUCCCCAUUAUUAUAAAUUUCAAAAAUAUGGCACUUGUCAGUGAUGAUGUUGCGAGUGAAUAUGGUUAAUAUACAGUGCCUUAUUGUGCUAUCAGGUAAUAAUUUUUACUGAGCAGCAGGAGACAGCAGCAGGACACAACAAGAGGAGAUUUUGGGCAUAUUCAGAAACUGGACUAGGAACCUAAUCCUAAAUCUCCAUUUCAUUCAAUCCCCAAUACUAUAAAUUGAUGAAGAAAACUUACUCAACGCCGCCGAUCCCAG